UCCCUUGGUGGUCCAACAGUUAGGACUCUGCACUUUGACUGCCGUGGCCCCAGGUUCAAUCCCUGGUCAGGGAA